AGAUAUUUGGAGAUGACGAUCAUACA
rnacentral:piRNA from 1 species